rnacentral:rRNA from 1 species
GAGUUUGAUCAUGGCUCAGAACGUACGCUGGCGGCACGCCUAACACAUGCAAGUCGAACGAAGUAGCAAUACUUAGUGGCAGACGGGUGAGUAACAUGUAGGUAUCUGCCCUUUGGCCUGGAAUAACACGAGGAAACUUGUGCUAAUACCGGAUAAGUCUUUACGGAGAAAGCUUUAUGCACCAUUGGAUGAGCCUGCACUUGAUUAGUUUGUUGGUGGGGUAAUGGCCUACCAAGACUGUGAUCAAUAGCUGAUUUGAGAGGAUGAUCAGCCACAUUGGGACUGAGACACGGCCCAAACUCCUACGGGAGGCAGCAGUGGGGAAUCUUGCACAAUGGAGGAAACUCUGAUGCAGCGAUGCCGCGUGAGUGAAGAAGGCCCUUGGGUUGUAAAGCUCUUUCGUCGGGGAAGAAAAUGACUGUACCCGAAUAAGAAGGUCCGGCUAACUUCGUGCCAGCAGCCGCGGUAAUACGAAGGGACCUAGCGUAGUUCGGAAUUACUGGGCUUAAAGAGUUCGUAGGUGGUUAAAAAAGUUGAUGGUGAAAUCCCAAGGCUCAACCUUGGAACUGCCAUCAAAACUUUUUAGCUAGAGUAUGAUAGAGGAAAGUGGAAUUUCUAGUGUAGAGGUGAAAUUCGUAGAUAUUAGAAAGAAUACCAAUUGCGAAGGCAGCUUUCUGGAUCAUUACUGACACUGAGGAACGAAAGCAUGGGUAGCGAAGAGGAUUAGAUACCCUCGUAGUCCAUGCCGUAAACGAUGUGUGUUAGACGUUGGAAAUUUAUUUUCAGUGUCGCAGCGAAAGCGAUAAACACACCGCCUGGGGAGUACGACCGCAAGGUUAAAACUCAAAUGAAUUGACGGGGACCCGCACAAGUAGUGGAGCAUGUGGUUUAAUUCGAAGAUACGCGCAGAACCUUACCAACACUUGACAUGUUCGUCGCGACUCUAAGAGAUUAGAGUUUUCGGUUCGGCCGGACGAAACACAGGUGCUGCAUGGCUGUCGUCAGCUCGUGUCGUGAGAUGUUGGGUUAAGUCCCGCAACGAGCGCAACCCUCACUUUUAGUUGCCAUCAUUAAGUUGGGCACUCUGAAAGAACUGCCAGUGAUAAGCUGGAGGAAGGUGGGGAUGACGUCAAGUCCUCAUGGCCCUUACGUGUUGGGCUACACACGUGCUACAAUGGUAUCUACAACAGGAAGCAAGACUGCGAGGUCAAGCAAAUCCUUAAAAGAUACCUCAGUUCGGAUUGCACUCUGCAACUCGAGUGCAUGAAGCUGGAAUUACUAGUAAUCGUGGAUCAGCGUGCCACGGUGAAUGCGUUCCCGGGUCUUGUACACACCGCCCGUCACACCAUGGGAGUUGGUUCUACCUUAAG